UGGGAAAUUGUACGAGAUGAUGACAACA
rnacentral:piRNA from 1 species